rnacentral:rRNA from 1 species
GACGAACGCUGGCGGCGUGCUUAACACAUGCAAGUCGAACGAGAAUCUGCGGAAAGAGGAUUCGUCCAAUUGAAGCAGAGGACAGUGGCGGACGGGUGAGUAACACGUAAGCAAUCUGCCUAUCAGAGGGGAAUAACAGUGAGAAAUCAUUGCUAAUACCGCAUAUGCUAACAGUAUCGCAUGAUACAGUUAGGAAAGGAGCAAUCCGCUGAUAGAUGAGCUUGCGCCUGAUUAGAUAGUUGGUGGGUAACGGCCCACCAAGGCGACGAUCAGUAGCCGGUCUGAGAGGAUGAACGGCCACAUUGGGACUGAGACACGGCCCAAACUCCUACGGGAGGCAGCAGUGGGGAAUCUUCCGCAAUGGCGCAAGCCUGACGGAGCAACGCCGCGUGAGUGAAGAAGGUUUCGGAUCGUAAAGCUCUGUUG